rnacentral:rRNA from 1 species
GACGAACGCUGGCGGCGUGCUUAACACAUGCAAGUCGAACGGUAAGGCCCUGCUUUUGUGGGGUGCUCGAGUGGCGAACGGGUGAGUAUCACGUGAGUAACCUGCCCUUGACUUUGGGAUAACUUCAGGAAACUGGGGCUAAUACCGGAUAGGAGCUCCUUCUGCAUGGUGGGGGUUGGAAAGUUUCGGCGGUUGGGGAUGGACUCGCGGUUUAUCAGCGUGUUGGUGGGUUAGUGGCUUACCAAGGCUUUGACGGGUAGCCGGCCUGAGAGGGUGACCGGCCACAUUGGGACUGAGAUACGGCCCAGACUCCUACGGGAGGCAGCAGUGGGGAAUAGUGCACAAUGGGCGGAAGCCUGAUGCAGCAACGCCGCGUGCGGGAUGACGGCCUUCGGGUUGUAAACCGCUUUCGCCUGUGACGAAGCGUGAGUGACGGUAAUGGGUAAAGAAGCACCGGCUAACUACGUG